UAGUGCAGUUUUUUCACUGAUCCCCACCUUGACCAUUUACCUGAAUUGAGUGUGUAAGUGUGUGUCGGCGCACUGCUCUAUAGCGGUCCUGUAGUCGGAUGGCGGUACUGCACCCUGACACACACUUGACGCAAUUCACACACUCUGCCUACUGCACAUGCGCAAUCUCAUAAGUGAAUCCGACUUUAAUCAACUUAAUUAAGAUCUAUCAUCAAAUUAUUCGAAUUUUUGGGUAAGUUAGAAUGUUUUUCACCAUCAUAAUGUAAUAAAAUAGGUUAUAUGACAAAUACUUAUGUUGCAUAUUUUGACAGUUAUCAGGUAUAGUUAAUUAAAUGUUUUAACGAAUUUCCUGGGUGUUUUAAUCGAUGUUGUUUCAAAUUACGUAUUAAUAUAACACUGAUAAGACACAAACUACAGUUCGGUAUGUAAUUUAACUUGUUUACACGAGUAAAAGUUACUCGCGCUAAUGUGCUAACGUGCUAACUGCCCGGUGCUACGUGAGUCAGAGGCCGGGGUGGAGUGCAUGAGCCGCGGUCAGACAGUCACCAAUCACCGGGCGGCUAAAUGGAUCGACGGAGGAUAAAACCAUUAAAAGAUGCGGAGAAACACAUCACCAGCUCCACUGACAAGACCCAUUCACUGGAAACCGAAUAUAUAGAAGGUUACUAAGUUUUGCAGCAUUGAUGCCGAUCAUGAGGACGAUCUGCACCCUAACUGCACUGUCAGUAAGAUCGUUGUUCAGAGAAAACCUCAUUUGUGCCUUUUUGCAAUCAGGGAUAUUUUCUUUGGAGAGGAAAUAACGUUUGACUAUGGCGCAUGUGAUUGGCCUUGGAGAAAGCUUUCAUUGAAGGAUGCCCAUAUGACUGCAGAAGAAAACUGCUCCGACAACUCUCUGAUGAGCUUAUAUUGAAGGAUGACCAUAUGACAGAGGAAGAGAAC